UACAGAGGUCUCAACCGUUGUUCGGAUUCAUUGGGCGUAAAGGGCGCGCAGGCGGCUAUGUAAGUCCGGCGUGAAAUCCCAUGGCUUAACUGUGGAACUGCGUCGGAUACUGCAUUGGCUUGAGGGCGGUAGAGGCUUCUGGAACUAGCGGUGUAGCGGUGAAAUGCGUAGAUAUCGAGAGGAACACCUGCGGCGAAGGCGGGUUGCUGGGCUGACACUGACGCUGAAGUGCGAAAGCUAGGGGAGCGAACGGG
rnacentral:rRNA from 1 species